AACGCACGAGACCUGCGGACCUGCGGAAGGAUCAUUACUGAGUGAGGGCCCUCUGGGUCCUACCUCCCACCCGUGUCUAUUGUACCUUGUUGCUUCGGUGGGCCCGCCCUCGUGGCCGCCGGGGGGCUUCUUGCCCCCGGGCCCGCGCCCACCGGAGACAAACAUGAACACUGUCUGAAGGUUGCCGUCUGAGUGAUUUUAUAAAUCGUUAAAACUUUUAACAAUGGAUCUCUAGAUCGG
rnacentral:misc_RNA from 1 species